UACGUAGGGGGCAAGCGUUUGUCCGGAUUUAUUGGGCGUAAAGAGCGUGUAGGCGGCUAGAUAGGUCCGUUGUGAAAACUCGAGGCUCAACCUCGAGACGUCGAUGGAAACCAUCUGGCUAGAGUCCGGAAGAGGAGAGUGGAAUUCCUGGUGUAGCGGUGAAAUACGCAGAUAUCAGGAAGAACACCCGUGGCGAAGGCGGCUCUCUGGUACGUGACUGACGCUGAGACGCGAAAAGCGUGGGGAGCAAACAGG
rnacentral:rRNA from 1 species